rnacentral:rRNA from 1 species
CCGCCCGUCACAUCAUGGAAGUUACUUGUACCCGAAGUGCAUGCGCCAACCCGCAAGGGAGGCAGUGCCCUAAGGUAUGAGUGGUAACUGGGAUG